AUCUGGCUGACGAGUCCCGAAUAGGCCGAAACGCGCAUCCUGGAU
rnacentral:hammerhead_ribozyme from 1 species